CCUGUCAGUUUACCUUGUUAGUAUAUCCUACUUGACCUGUUACAAGUGGUAGCUACAUUAAGAACUCCAAAACUCAAACUCCUUCCAUCUUUCGCAAGCUCUACUACGACUACUUCCCACCCACGCUACCGAGGCUCUUUCGACAGUGUCAAAGAUAUCGUAAUCAAAAGGUGAUUUACUGACUUGGCCGCAAUAAAUUACGACCGGAACAAGUGAAGUUCGUUUUGCCGGAUUUGUGUACGGGGCUGGCCGAUGCCGAUUCCCAGCGCACGUUCAUCUUCGGUGCCGUUCCUUAUAUUUGGCUGUCAAGCAGGCUGAAGCAGCGGACCAGCAUGCGGACGGGUAAAAUUGGAUUAACCAUGUGUGCUUGUGUGUGUGUGUGCGGUGCUUACAAACGAGAGCAUUACGCAGUCGGGACAAAAAAGAAACGAAAUAUUGUGGGAGUUAGGUAGACAGAGAGAGAGAGAGAGAGACAGGUAGUGCGAAUCACGGACAAAUCGGUCCUGUUAUUGACAACGCGGGAGGUGAGGGUGUGUAAGUGAGUGGUCCCCAAAAACAGCAGCAGGUCAGCAGUUUGUAUAACCCCUACCGUUUGUUCUGGCCGAUAGAGGGCACCAAAAAAAGGCGAUCGAGAAUAAGAGUUUGCUUUGGUUUUAUAGUACACAUGUGACCCAAUCCCACACACACGCACACACGUCGCCCAACCCCGAGUGGCAUAAAAUCCCACGAAAGAGACGAGAAGGAGAAAGGUAGAGACGGAGCGAGAGAGAAAAAAAGGUGUCAACACUUUGAAAGCAAUUGGUAGUUUUGGAGUCCGGAUCUCCACCUUCGCAAUCAUCAGCGUGAUAAAAACCCCUCCAGGGUUACAACACUGUGCGGAGGCCCUGUGUCAAUUUGGUCCUUUUAAUUUCCCGAAAUGGAACAUUCUGCUCCUGUCCUGUCCCUGCUCGCAGCGGUUCUAUCCCUAACACUCCAAUGUCCAGGCGAGAAUACUCGAGUACUCCCCCUUUUUUACCGAAGAAAGAUUUAUGAGCUGAUACCUAAUGCGUGUGAGUGUGUACGUAAUGGUACCGUUUGUGCUGAAGCGUUUAUUAGGGAAUAGUUUUACACGGUGCUGAAGGUAGAUUUGUUUGCGUCUUUUGGCUAAAUGGAAGUUGGAAGAGGGUUUUUGGUGGCAUCAGAUUGAGAGGAAGUUUCGCUCCGAAAAAGCUGGACACUGAACACGGUUUUGGCAGCUUGCAGUAGCGCAUAUCAUUAAACAUUUAUUUAUUUUCGGGUAUUCGAGUAAUGGGUAAUGCAAUGUGACAGCUGUCAAACCUUGGUCAGGAGUCAUCUUUCCAGGACUCUUCAGUUCAAGCGACUGUAGAAAGUAUCUGGUAGAUUCAAUGUUGGUUUUUGAAAGUAUACCUCACCCAUGUGUGGCAGUUAAUGAGAACCUUCAAAAGAGUUCCCUUCAAAGUAAACAUGCGAUCUCUGCAACACAAAAUUGGUGUUCGGAAUGAGGAUAUUUAUCCGUCGUUCACCGAUUUUUAAAUGUUCACCCGAUUCCAGCGCUCUGGUUAGUGUCUAACGUCUGCAGGUUCGGGAGCGCUGUUCCAUGUACAGUACGCGGAUAGAACCUCCCACACUGCAUCAUCAAGCAUUAACCAGCCAAAACAAUAUACGUGUUGGCGUCGCUGCCAAGCGCGUACCAGUGGUGAGUCCUAUUCUAAAUGCCAUCACCACGCGUACGUAAUCCACAAUAAGACGGGCGACCGCCAAUUCGACUCACACCGAACGAACGGGCCAGUACGUAGAAAGUAAUUAAACAAAUUACUACUGACAGUCUCCCACUCCCAAUCUAGUCGUCCGUACCCUGGAAGCACACAGAUCCACAUGACACAAAGCGGAAUACAAAAAAAAAAA